UCGAGUGGCGAACGGGUGAGUAAUACAUCGGAACGUACCUUAUCGUGGGGGAUAACGCAGCGAAAGCAUGUGCUAAUACCGCAUACGCCCUUAGGGGGAAAGCGGGGGAUCGCAAGACCUCGCGCGAUUAGAGCGGCCGAUGCCUGAUUAGCUUGUUGGUGGGGUAAAAGCCCACCAAGGCGACGAUCAGUAGCUGGUCUGAGAGGACGAUCAGCCACACUGGGACUGAGACACGGCCCAGACUCCUACGGGAGGCAGCAGUGGGGAAUUUUGGACAAUGGGGGAAACCCUGAUCCAGCAAUGCCGCGUGAGUGAAGAAGGCCUUCGGGUUGUAAAGCUCUUUUGUCAGGGAAGAAACACCGGCUCUAACACAGUCCGGGAAUGACGGUACCUGAAGAAUAAGCACCGGCUAACUACGUGCCAGCAGCCGCGGUAAUACGUAGGGUGCAAGCGUUAAUCGGAAUUACUGGGCGUAAAGCGUGCGCAGGCGGUUAUACAAGACAGGCGUGAAAUCCCCGGGCUCAACCUGGGAAUUGCAUCUGUGACUGUAUAGCUAGAGUACGGUAGAGGGGGAUGGAAUUCCGCGUGUAGCAGUGAAAUGCGUAGAUAUGCGGAGGAACACCGAUGGCGAAGCAAUCCCUGGACCUGUACUGACGCUCAUGCACGAAAGCGUGGGGAGCAAACAGGAUUAGAU
rnacentral:rRNA from 1 species